rnacentral:rRNA from 1 species
AACCGAAUAGGGGAGCCGGAGGGAAACCGAGUCUUAACCGGGCGUUAAGUUGCAGGGUAUAGACCCGAAACCCGGUGAUCUAGCCAUGGGCAGGUUGAAGGUUGGGUAACACUAACUGGAGGACCGAACCGACUAAUGUUGAAAAAUUAGCGGAUGACCUGUGGCUGGGGGUGAAAGGCCAAUCAAACCGGGAGAUAGCUGGUUCUCCCCGAAAGCUAUUUAGGUAGCGCCUCGUGAAUUCAUCUCCGGGGGUAGAGCACUGUUUCGGCUAGGGGGCCAUCCCGGCUUACCAACCCGAUGCAAACUGCGAAUACCGGAGAAUGUUAUCACGGGAGACACACGGCGGGUGCUAACGUCCGUCGUGAAGAGGGAAACAACCCAGACCGCCAGCUAAGGUCCCAAAGUCAUGGUUAAGUGGGAAACGAUGUGGGAAGGCCCAGACAGCCAGGAUGUUGGCUUAGAAGCAGCCAUCAUUUAAAGAAAGCGUAAUAGCUCACUGGUCGAGUCGGCCUGCGCGGAAGAUGUAACGGGGCUAAACCAUGCACCGAAGCUGCGGCAGCGACACUGUGUGUUGUUGGGUAGGGGAGCGUUCUGUAAGCCUGCGAAGGUGGCCUGUGAGGGUUGCUGGAGGUAUCAGAAGUGCGAAUGCUGACAUAAGUAACGAUAAAGCGGGUGAAAAGCCCGCUCGCCGGAAGACCAAGGGUUCCUGUCCAACGUUAAUCGGGGCAGGGUGAGUCGACCCCUAAGGCGAGGCCGAAAGGCGUAGUCGAUGGGAAACGGGUUAAUAUUCCCGUACUUGGUGUUACUGCGAAGGGGGGACGGAGAAGGCUAUGUUGGCCGGGCGACGGUUGUCCCGGUUUAAGCGUGUAGGUGUGUGUUCCAGGUAAAUCCGGUUCACUUUAACACUGAGGCGUGACGACGAGGCACUACGGUGCUGAAGCAACAAAUGCCCUGCUUCCAGGAAAAGCCUCUAAGCAUCAGGUAACAUCAAAUCGUACCCCAAACCGACACAGGUGGUCAGGUAGAGAAUACCAAGGCGCUUGAGAGAACUCGGGUGAAGGAACUAGGCAAAAUGGUGCCGUAACUUCGGGAGAAGGCACGCUGACACGUAGGUGAAGUGAUUUACUCAUGGAGCUGAAGUCAGUCGAAGAUACCAGCUGGCUGCAACUGUUUAUUAAAAACACAGCACUGUGCAAACACGAAAGUGGACGUAUACGGUGUGACGCCUGCCCGGUGCCGGAAGGUUAAUUGAUGGGGUCAGCGCAAGCGAAGCUCCUGAUCGAAGCCCCGGUAAACGGCGGCCGUAACUAUAACGGUCCUAAGGUAGCGAAAUUCCUUGUCGGGUAAGUUCCGACCUGCACGAAUGGCGUAAUGAUGGCCAGGCUGUCUCCACCCGAGACUCAGUGAAAUUGAACUCGCUGUGAAGAUGCAGUGUACCCGCGGCAAGACGGAAAGACCCCGUGAACCUUUACUAUAGCUUGACACUGAACAUUGAGCCUUGAUGUGUAGGAUAGGUGGGAGGCUUUGAAGUGUGGACGCCAGUCUGCAUGGAGCCGACCUUGAAAUACCACCCUUUAAUGUUUGAUGUUCUAACGUGGACCCGUUACCCGGGUUGCGGACAGUGUCUGGUGGGUAGUUUGACUGGGGCGGUCUCCUCCUAAAGAGUAACGGAGGAGCACGAAGGUUGGCUAAUCCUGGUCGGACAUCAGGAGGUUAGUGCAAUGGCAUAAGCCAGCUUGACUGCGAGCGUGACGGCGCGAGCAGGUGCGAAAGCAGGUCAUAGUGAUCCGGUGGUUCUGAAUGGAAGGGCCAUCGCUCAACGGAUAAAAGGUACUCCGGGGAUAACAGGCUGAUACCGCCCAAGAGUUCAUAUCGACGGCGGUGUUUGGCACCUCGAUGUCGGCUCAUCACAUCCUGGGGCUGAAGUAGGUCCCAAGGGUAUGGCUGUUCGCCAUUUAAAGUGGUACGCGAGCUGGGUUUAGAACGUCGUGAGACAGUUCGGUCCCUAUCUGCCGUGGGCGCUGGAGAACUGAGGGGGGCUGCUCCUAGUACGAGAGGACCGGAGUGGACGCAUCACUGGUGUUCGGGUUGUCAUGCCAAUGGCACUGCCCGGUAGCUAAAUGCGGAAGAGAUAAGUGCUGAAAGCAUCUAAGCACGAAACUUGCCCCGA